rnacentral:rRNA from 1 species
UUGAAAAGAACUCUGAAGAGAGAGUUCAAUAGUACGUGAAACCAUAAUGAGUAAAACGGAUAACUGUACUGUUUUAGCGUUUUGCUUUUCAACAGUUUGUAGUGAUAUUCGACAGUGCGAGAAUUAGCUGUUUCUCAGCAAAAUUCGCGUAGGUAGAAUGUUGUCAUCAGCUGUGAUUUAGUGCAAUUCCUAUCAUUAAAAAGCUUUACGGUCCUGGCAGAGGUGUGCUGCAGUUCGCACUACGUGUGAAGUAACAUGCUGUGCUAUGUGGUUGUUGAGUUUGGCUGAGAUUACUUUAGUCCGAAAUGUUUAAAGCUUUUGUUACAUGUAUGUCUAGCAGACUUGUUUAUUCUGGUUUGUGGCGCUCAUGUGGUAAUUGUUUGCGUUUCAUGUUUAAUGAUCAAGUACUAGUUAUUCGACCCGUCUUGAAACACGGACCAAGGAGUUCAAAUGGCACGCGAGUCAUUGGGUGUAAAAAUCCAAAGGCGAAGUGAAAUGCGAGCGUAUUGUUAUUUGUGGUAUCCAUGAAAAGAAUGAUAAGCUACUGAUGCUAUCAGGCAUUUGUAGACUACAAGCGUGUCGUUUGAGACCCGAAAGG